ensembl:lncRNA
UCACUUUCGAAAAAAGCGGAGGGUUACGGGAGGAGAACAUAAUCAGACUGUCAUCAUUACAAGCCACAAGCUACAAACGGAGGAGUUUGGGCUGAACUGCCUUUUUAUUGUCCUCUUAUACAUCGACAGGAUUUUUUUGUUUCACAGUGUCCUUGUUAACAUAAAUGCAACUUUAUCACGGAUUGUUCGCUUGACGUCUUUCGAGGUUUUUAAACUUUUCUUGAAUUGGAGUGAGGCCUCGGUGCCAUGCCAGAGAAAUCCCAUAGCACGGCCCAUGACGUCCCAAUGGGUGAAGAAUCACCUCGGUUGUCCACCGCCUCUGUAGGCAGUAAUGACCGGGCUUCCACUGCUACGCUGUCUGAUUGUUCUGAAUUCACAGAAGUCCAGAGGCCCGUAAGCGUGGUCUCCAACAUCUCAUCCGGGUCUGGUUCCUCUCGGGAAGACGUUCUCCUGUCAGGUAUCCCAUCUGCUGGUGUGCCUAUUGACGACAACGUGGAUCUGGAAUUAACGGCUGCUGCUGAUCCGGAUGAGACUCAGGGCACUAGUCUUACCCAAGCAACCACCCCAUUCCUCCAACAAAAUAGCAGCAACACUGUUAACAACAACAACAACAGCUCCUCCGCUUCCAACAGUUUCUCUCCAUUUGCUGCCAGCACCAUGGCACCCAACCCUGGGCUCACCUACCUGGACCGUGUGAUCAUGGAGAUCAUUGAGACGGAGCGGAUGUAUGUGAGAGAUCUGCGGAGUAUCGUAGAGGACUACCUUGCUCACAUUAUAGAUACAGGAGAUCUUCCCAUCAAGCCAGAACAGGUGUGUGCUCUGUUUGGAAACAUAGAGGACAUUUAUGAGUUUAACAGUGAGCUCCUUCAAUCAUUGGACAUGUGUGACAAUGAUCCUGUGGCCAUUGCCAGAUGCUUUGUGAUCAAGCGUGAAUAUUUUGACAUCUACACACAAUAUUGCACCAACUACCCAAACUCUGUGGCUGCUCUAACAGACUGCAUGAGAAACAAAACUCUUGCCAAGUUCUUCAGGGAGAGGCAAGCUGCUUUAAAGCGAUCCCUGCCUCUGGGAUCUUACCUUCUCAAGCCUGUCCAGAGGAUCCUCAAAUAUCAUCUUUUACUACAGGAGAUUGCCAAGCACUUUGAUCCAGAGGAGGAGGGUUAUGAGGUGGUGGAGGAGGCCAUAUACACUAUGACUGGUGUUGCGUGGUAUAUAAACGACAUGAAGAGAAAACAUGAACAUGCAGUCCGUCUUCAGGUGAGCUUGCAAACACACAAGAAGUUGUGUUAUGAGCAUGUUUCACUGGUUUUGUUUAUGUGCUCACCAUGUUUAGUGAAGAUAUUAUCCAAUUCAUGA